rnacentral:rRNA from 1 species
AUUAAGAGCUUGCUCUUAUGAAGUUAGCGGCGGACGGGUGAGUAACACGUGGGUAACCUGCCCAUAAGACUGGGAUAACUCCGGGAAACCGGGGCUAAUACCGGAUAACAUUUUGAACUGCAUGGUUCGAAAUUGAAAGGCGGCUUCGGCUGUCACUUAUGGAUGGACCCGCGUCGCAUUAGCUAGUUGGUGAGGUAAUGGCUCACCAAGGCAACGAUGCGUAGCCGACCUGAGAGGGUGAUCGGCCACACUGGGACUGAGACACGGCCCAGACUCCUACGGGAGGCAGCAGUAGGGAAUCUUCCGCAAUGGACGAAAGUCUGACGGAGCAACGCCGCGUGAGUGAUGAAGGCUUUCGGGUCGUAAAACUCUGUUGUUAGGGAAGAACAAGUGCUAG